UACGGAGGGCGCAAGCGUUGUUCGGAAUUACUGGGCGUAAAGCGCGUGUAGGCGGUUCAGCAAGUCGGUUGUGAAAGCCCCGGGCUCAACUCGGGAAUUGCGUCCGAAACUGCUGAACUGGAGUCCCGGAGAGGAAGGCAGAAUUCCCAAUGUAGGGGUGGAAUCCGUAGAUAUUGGGAGGAAUACCGGUGGCGAAGGCGGCCUUCUGGACGGUGACUGACGCUGAGACGCGAAAGCGUGGGGAGCAAACAGG
rnacentral:rRNA from 1 species